GAAGCUGGCUAGACAGUCGCCGCUUGUUUUUCAGUAAUGGAAGGCAGGGGGAGGAAAGUCCGGGCUCCAUAGAGCAGGAUGCCGGUUAAUGGCCGGCCGCCGUGAGGUGCGGAAUAGGGCCACAGAGACGAGCGUAUUAAGUUACGGUGAAACGCGGUAACCUCCAUCCGGAGCAAGACCAAAUAGGCAGGCAAUGAUGCGGCUCGCUGAGCCUGCGGGUAGGUUGCUUGAGCUUGCGGGUAACCGCACGCCUAGAGGAAUGACUGUCCACGACAGAACCCGGCUUACCGGCCAGCUUCAUUU
rnacentral:RNase_P_RNA from 1 species